rnacentral:rRNA from 1 species
AGAGUUUGAUCCUGGCUCAGGACGAACGCUGGCGGCGUGCCUAAUACAUGCAAGUAGAACGCUGAAGAGAGGAGCUUGCUCUUCUUGGAUGAGUUGCGAACGGGUGAGUAACGCGUAGGUAACCUGCCUUGUAGCGGGGGAUAACUAUUGGAAACGAUAGCUAAUACCGCAUAACAAUGGAUGACACAUGUCAUUUAUUUGAAAGGGGCAAUUGCUCCACUACAAGAUGGACCUGCGUUGUAUUAGCUAGUAGGUGAGGUAACGGCUCACCUAGGCGACGAUACAUAGCCGACCUGAGAGGGUGAUCGGCCACACUGGGACUGAGACACGGCCCAGACUCCUACGGGAGGCAGCAGUAGGGAAUCUUCGGCAAUGGGGGCAACCCUGACCGAGCAACGCCGCGUGAGUGAAGAAGGUUUUCGGAUCGUAAAGCUCUGUUGUAAGAGAAGAACGAGUGUGAGAGUGGAAAGUUCACACUGUGACGGUAACUUACCAGAAAGGGACGGCUAACUACGUGCCAGCAGCCGCGGUAAUACGUAGGUCCCGAGCGUUGUCCGGAUUUAUUGGGCGUAAAGCGAGCGCAGGCGGUUUGAUAAGUCUGAAGUUAAAGGCUGUGGCUCAACCAUAGUUCGCUUUGGAAACUGUCAAACUUGAGUGCAGAAGGGGAGAGUGGAAUUCCAUGUGUAGCGGUGAAAUGCGUAGAUAUAUGGAGGAACACCGGUGGCGAAAGCGGCUCUCUGGUCUGUAACUGACGCUGAGGCUCGAAAGCGUGGGGAGCAAACAGGAUUAGAUACCCUGGUAGUCCACGCC